AGGAAGAAAAUCUAGAUUAAAGGAAAGUGAUAUCCACAACAAGGCCUGAGGGAGUUUUUUUUAUGUGAGGAGAAAGCGCCAGCCACCCACCCACCCCCACACACAUACACACAUGUCAAGAAGCAGGUUCCGGGCAAAGGGAGGUCACUGGUGCCAGCCAAUGGCACGUGUUCCCAAAUCAGGAUUAACAUGACCCACAGAGGUCCAGCGUACGUACUUUUACUUUUCUAGAACCACAGAGAAAUGGCUUUACUUUACUUUUAUCGCCAACGAAUCAACCAUUUUUUUUUAAACAGCCGAGAGGGAGAUGAUCUCUAAUGAAGGUUGUAACUUUGAGAGUUUAAACAAAAGAGAAAAAUGUGAAAAUGUAAAUGUAUGUCAGAGAAAGGUUUAUAAAGUGUGCAGUGGGGGUUUUACAGCCUUGAAACUGUCAUGGUGGCCUGUCAGACUCCUCCCCCUCCCAGCUCUGCUCCAGACUCUCAGCUGUGACUCAUCACCUCAUCCACGCACCUGCUACUUAAGGAGACUCACCUCAAGCAUUCUUCGCCAGAUCGUUAAACCUGAUGGUCUGCCUUUCCCACGAGAGUCUCCCGAGUCCUCAGCCGACGCGAGCAGAAGCUGAAUCCCUCACGCUCCUCAAGAACUCCAGCCACGCCACCGUCAAGAACUCCAGCCACGCCUCCGCCAAGAACUCCAGCCACGUUGCAGUCAAAAGACUCCAUUCACGCCACUGCUGUGAGCUCCGGUCACGCCGCUGUAAGAUCUCCGUGCUCACCUUGGUCUACGAGCCGCUGUCAAGCUGCACGCCGCUCUCCCCUACUGGAUCCGCUAGCCCCUUCAAAAUAAAACUAGUUACUUACCUUUUCA